UACGUAGGUGGCAAGCGUUGUCCGGAUUUAUUGGGUUUAAAGGGUGCGUAGGCGGCCCUAUAAGUCAGUGGUGAAAUAUCGCAGCUUAACUGUGAGGGUGCCAUUGAUACUGUAGGGCUUGAGUGAAUUUGAGGUAGGCGGAAUUGACGGUGUAGCGGUGAAAUGCUUAGAUAUCGUCAAGAACACCGAUAGUGAAGACAGCUUACCAAGCUUCAACUGACGCUGAGGCACGAAAGUGUGGGGAUCAAACAGG
rnacentral:rRNA from 1 species